UACGAAGGGGGCUAGCGUUGUUCGGAAUCACUGGGCGUAAAGCGCACGUAGGCGGAUCCUUAAGUCAGGGGUGAAAUGCCGAGGCUCAACCUCGGAACUGCCUUUGAUACUGGGGAUCUCGAGUCCGGGAGAGGUGAGUGGAAUUGCGAGUGUAGAGGUGAAAUUCGUAGAUAUUCGCAAGAACACCAGUGGCGAAGGCGGACUCACUGGCCCGGUACUGACGCUGAGGUGCGAAAGCGUGGGGAGCAAACAGG
rnacentral:rRNA from 1 species